CCCCCCAGCCCCACCAAAGCUCCAGCCCUCGGAAACACACACUUGACAUCACAACCAAGGUUUUGACAAAGCCAUAUUCAUCCCUAUUACAGGACCUAGGCCAUCUGCGGGCCAGAUCCUGCCCCACGAGCUCCCUGCCAUUCUGUCUGACCUGAGACUGCGGGCGCCAACAUCCAGGAGAUAUAGACAUCUGUGUGUUUAUUUAUGCUGGAGUUAGAGAGAGAAAAAAGAAUGGCAAAAAUCUUCCAUAUGCUGCUUCACAUCCCAAACGACUGCAACAGCCAGAGCUGAGCCAGGCUGAAGCCCCCAAGGAACUGGUCCAUCAGGUGCCUCCCCUAGGACCCAAGACCUGAAAAGUCCCUGUGC